UGGGGAAUAUUGGGCAAUGGGCGCAAGCCUGACCCAGCAACGCCGCGUGAAGGAAGAAGGUUUCUUCGGGUUGUAAACUUCUUUUCUCAGGGACGAAGCAAGUGACGGUACCUGAGGAAUAAGCCACGGCUAACUACGUGCC
rnacentral:rRNA from 1 species